rnacentral:rRNA from 1 species
GACAGAGGCCCAAGCGUUAGGCGGAAUCACUGGGCUUAAAGCGUGUGUAGGCGGACGCCUAAGUGUCUUGUGAAAUCCCACGGCUCACCCGUGGAACUGCUGGGCAUACUGGGCGUCUUGGGCCAACUAGGGGCAGCCGGAACAAGCGGUGGAGCGGUGAAAUGCGUAGAUAUCGCUUGGAACGCCGAAGGUGAAAACAGGCUGCUGGGGUUGUGCCGACGCUGGAGACACGAAAGCCAGGGGAGCAAACGGGG